rnacentral:lncRNA from 1 species
UUUUACAAGACUAAAAGAUUAUGAUGCAUCCACCAAUUACCUUCAGUUUUAUUGUUAUAAGAGGGGAAGAUGUUAUGAAAGUUUCAAUUAAUCUUUUGAGCACUAUAUUAGAGUAGUGGUUAUGCACUUGCAUUGCUUACAAACGAGCUGUACAGAAGGGUAUACCUCCCAAAUACUUAGUGUAGUUGACUUGUCUUGGGUUGCACUGUAAGGCAGAGUACUCAGAGUAGUUGGAAAAUGCAGAAUCAGUUGUAUAAUUUUUUUUUAUAAAAACGGUGUUUUUUAGGCUAAAGAAUAAAGUAUCAUAUCUUAGGAGGGGAAAAUUUAUAACUGACAUUUUUUCCCCAGCCCAAUAUGGGCUGUAUACGUUUUAUUGUUUCUUAAUUUUUUUCUUAUUUUUUCUGUAGGAAAAAAUCUUAAUAAAAACUACCCCAAUGUUUUAACUUCAUGUAUGAUAUUAAAUGGGUAGUUUUAACACUUGAAUAUGUUGAGGGCUUCUGCCUUGAGGCAGGGCUUGAUAUAUUUUUAAUUUACAAAGAAUUAAACAUAUUCAUAAAAGUGAGGCAUUUUAUCUCUUUUUAUUUUCUUUUCUCAUAGCCACCCAGUUGGACUAGUGGUCUUCCCCUGGUCCUUCAGUAAAAUGCUCCAUUGCUGCCAUUUCCAUUGUUGUUACUUGAUGCUUUCAUUCCUGAGAAGGCAGGGCUACAGUCUCUGGAAUUUCAUAAAUGCAUGACAUACCCCUCCCCCCACAACCUACACACAAAGGAUCUAAUGCUUCAUAGAACCUGUGCUACCUUUUCAUGUUGGAGUUGGUUUUCUUAUCACAGUCAGGGUUCUUAAGGCCGUCCCAUCAGGACAAAUAUUUACCUUCCAUUUUAUUUCUGUUUGUCCCAAUUAUAAAGACUAUUUUCAGUUUCAGGAGUAGAACAGGGUUUAGCAAAAAUAUGUAGAGUAUCAAAGUUACCUACUGCAACUUUUUGUUCUUUGUCCACUAGCCAGGUGAUUUAACCCACUAAAUCCAUUAGCUUGCUGAAAAAUGUUAGCAAAGUAAAUCACGAGAAGAAAGAUAAUUUGAGAAGAGAAAUGGUAUGGUACAAUGAAAGAAGCUGUAAAGAUUAGGAAAGACUAGUAAGUGAAUAUUUUUAAAAAUUUAGUUGUAGAUUUCAAUGGGAUACGAUAGGACAGAAAAGAUUUUUUAAAAAGCAGAAAGAGUGUUUCAUGGUGAAAGUACUGGGGGAGGGUGGACAAAGCAUGCACACAUGCCAAUUUGAAAAUCAAGUGUGACUUACCUCACGUAGAGUAUGAAUACAUGGUCCACAGUUAUGGUCAACAAGCGUUUUCAAGAAAAACUCAUGAUGUGUUACACCCAUCCAUAUUUAGAGAUGAGAAUUAAAUGAUUACAAGCUAAAAUGUGCUGUAUACUGUAUUAAUUUUGAGAUAGCUUUCUACUUGAUGUAUAUUUCUUUGAGGGUUUCUAUCUAGUUAGAAUUUCAGCUUCUGCUGUGGGACCAAUGAGAGCUGUAUGAGUUUUUUUUUUUUUUUCCUUUUCCAUUAUUUUAUUUUUUGUUUUUUGUUUACCAAUUUGCUAAUUAAUUACAAGUAAGUGAAAACUUACUUUCACACUUGAAUGAUAAGCUUGCCUUGCUCUUUGGAAAAUGAUGAUUGUUAUUACAGAAGUGAAACAAACUUCUAUUCAGGCUACAGUAGGCAUACAAUAACCUAAAGAUCUCAUAGAAGUAUACUGAGAGUCUAAAAUACAUUCUAGUAGUGCAUGUCUUGGUGUGCUUUUGUUUGUUUGCUUUCUAAAAGAACUAAUGAAUCUGUAUAUUGUAAACUGUGGUGUUUUACAUGUCAAUUCAUUUUUUUAAUGAAAGAAAAUUUGUUGAUUACUGAAAUGAGAAAGUGUAGCUUUUCAUUAAUUCUCUUAUGUUUUUUAUUCUUGAUAUUGUUCUUUUAUACCACCCACUUUUUAAUGUUUUUGGUUAAACUCCAUUUAUAUAAUGUAGGAUGCAUAUAAAGUUCUCAUUGGUGAUGUUGAAGAAAGAGAUGACUCUUCUGGCCUUUCUCUAGUUUUCUUCCUCAUAUGUCCCUGUACUGAGAACUUCUAAAGCUUAUCAUUAUAAACCUAAGGCAGUGAUUUGAAAGUUUACAUUUUUCAUGAUUUUCAAAUACCAAUGAAAUGUAACUUUUAAAUAUUCCUCACUGUGUGUUUUAUAUUCACUGUCAAGAAAAUUCAGAAUGUAGAUUGUGUGGACAGCUAUACACAACUUAAUAAUUAUAUAUCAGAUAAACUGAAUAAAAAACUUUGUAAGAGUGGUCUACGCACACAGGAUCUUGUCCUCCCUAGGCGUGGAUAGAGAGAUGCCAUAAUCUGCCAGCAUUUGGGGAGAUCAUGGUAAAUACUUGAGGCGUUGAUACAUAGUGCAGUGAGCCAAUUUCCUUUUCAGUUGUCACUCAGCACCAUAACAUCACGAAGAACAUCAUUAAUGCAAACCUCUCACUAAGCCUUCAGACCAAAGUGGCUUUCUGAUGGACUCUGCCUGUCUGUCUACAAGUGGAGUCAGAUUCAAAGUAGAAAUGUAUCCAUCCUUGGGAAAGAAAAUAGGAAGUCUUCCCCCACUGUAGGAGUAUAUAAAAAUGUCUCCUGGUUGCUUAAUUCCCAACACUCAAUUUCCUUCUUCUAAACACAUUUAUAAGGAGCAAGAGAUGGUGCACUUAUUAUGAAUUAAUAUUAAGCAAUCACUAAAAGAAAGGAAUAUUCUCUUCCUUUCAAUCAGAAACCCUGAUAUGUAAGUUGUGCAAUUAAUGCUAAAGCAUAUAAAGUCUUUAAGCUGAUAAGUAUCUGUAAUCAAAUAAUGAAAAAAGGAAAGCAGUUAAAUGAACACACUAUUCAGGGUCAAAUAUGUUCAGCAAAAAGCCGUAGCGGGUCUUUGAUCAUGGUUAGAUUCACAGUGAUAUCAAACAGUUGGUUCUCAUGUAACAGCUAAAUGUUUCAGUUUUUUUUUUUUUAUUAAAUUUGGCAUUUCACACUGAGAUCUGUAUUCCUAGUGAAUAAAAGACAGCUACUAUAUUAGGAGGGAUUCCAUUUUCACAAUUGCAAAACAGAUAUUUCAGGAACAUGGGCCACAAAAUGUACUCCUUUCACAGUGUUCUCCUCUUCUGAACUGUGCAGUUAUCUAUUAAAUUUUCUAAUAGAUAUUUGUGUAAGGUGUAUGUAUGCUUGUGCAAUUAUUUAAAAAACGGUUUUGGAAAACAGUGUAUUUAUUAAAGAAAAUUACUUAUGGGGCAUGUACAAAACUGU